UUCGAAAUACAGGUGAACGGCAAUCAUGUGAUUAACGCACACACACAUAAAAAGCUUUUUAACAGCGCCCGCCCGGCCUCAGAACCGCCCGGAGAGAAGCCGCCUUGGAUGGACAGAGGGACUGAGCUACAAGCAUCCAGCCAGUCGUGUCCCGGCUCCUCUGCAGCGGUCUCCAACGUCCGCUGCUGCCCGCCCGCUGCCCGCCUGCCCGCCUGGCAUCUCUCUCCCGGACCACUGCCUGCCCACCCCAAAAGAGCCUAGUGCCUGGAAGGAGAGGGACAGGAACACUUAGGUGGAUUAGAAUCCCAGAGGCCGUGGCUCUGAGGAGGCUGGGCUCAGCGGCCAGACUCACUGACUGCUCCAUCUCUCCCACCCGCAUGGACAGAGCGUGUUCACAGGCUGGGAGUAUGUGUGUCCCUCUGUCUCUGCUCUGCUGGGCUUGCGUCCUAGGAAGGCAGAGGCAGCCGCGAACUUGAGGACUCGGCGGGAUAGGUGGUGAGGGGCUCUGGGAGAGUGGGGAGGGAGUUGAACAACUGUGGCCCUCAAAGAGAAGGGCUGUGAGUCAGGAUGGCUGGACACACUGAGGGAUCCUACUUCUGUCUGGAAGUUGAGGGUGAAAAGCUUCCUGGAGGAGGCACUAGAGAUGAGCUCCAAAUGAAGGCUGAGGUUCUCUUCAUGAGGGGCUGCAGGGUCGCCAUGUGACCAACAGGACACACCUGCCACAACUGCAAGGCAGGUCUGCUUCCCAAAGGACCACGUGCCAGUCCGGUCUCUGUGGUGUCUUGGUUCACAAAGAGGCUGCACUCGACAACACUCUGUUAAAGAUGUGUCUGUAUAAAUCUAUGCCUGGAGACGCUGUUGCAGUGUGUGUGAUAACAAAAGCCGGCUGUGACCUUAACAGUCAAGAGCCCAGGACGGGAACCCAAGGCAGAUCACGUUCACAUAACAGCGCGUUGUAGUGGUGGAAAAAUGACAUUCCUGUAGGAUUUUUAAUGUUGUAGAGAAGUGUCUAUGGUGUGAAACCCAGCACAUUUGCAGAUAUGUGCAUUCAGGUAGCUUCAACCAGGAGCAGUGAGGUCAAAGCCAACAGUGAGCCCUGCACGAAUCCACUGCAUUUAAACACGUGGAGAGAGAAAACAGGACAGGUUGGGGAGAUGACUCAAUUGGUGAUGUGCUUGCCGUGCAAACCUGAGGUCCUGAAUUUAAUUCCCAAAGCCCACAUGAGAAGGCCAGGCGUGAUAUCACAUGCUUGCAAUUCUCGACACUGGAAAACAGAACCCAGGCAGAGCCCCACGGGCAGCCGGCCUAGAAAACUUGUCAGGUUCUAGGCCAGUAAGAGUCCCUGUCUUAGAUAAGGACUGGCUCCACAAUGUUGUCCUCCAGCCUCCGUAUGCAUGUACGCACGAGUUCCCCAGGGAAGGUGGGAGAUUGCACAGACAUGCUUAUACACAUGAAAACAUUUUCCAGAAUGUAAUAGAGGGCUGGAGAGAUGGGUCAGUGAGGUACUUGCUGCUUUUGCAGAGGACCGGAGUUUGAUUUCCAGUACUUGUUUUGGGAGGCUCACAGUCACCUGUUACUCCACUCUGGCCUCUUUGCACACCCACUGAUGGAGGAGGGUUAUAUAAACACACACAUAAACAUCUUUUUUUUUUAAAAAAAUAAAAAUCUGGAACGACAAGAGAAAAAAAUUGAACCUUUAUUCUUGGGAUUAUGGAAUUUAGUGAGUUUUUUUAUCUAUUGAUUUACUAUUCUUUGAGGCAGGG